rnacentral:tRNA from 1 species
GGGAAUGUGGCUUAGUGGUAAAGUGCUUGUCUAACAUGCAUGAAGCCCUGGGUUCAAUUCCUCAGCACCA